CCGAAUAAAUUUUUUUUUUAUUGGUAUUUUCUUUACAUUUCACAUGUUAUCCUCCUGAAACCCCCUACCCCAUCCCUCCAUCCCCUGCUUCUAUGAAGGCAUUAUGUAUACUUCUAAGGAAGAAAUCAUUUUGUCCAAACCUAGAAUUCAGCUUCUUCAAAAUCCAAAGGUACCAUUGUUCUUUAUAUAGAACUCUGGGCUCUUAAGUUUUGUCAGUAAAUAGGGAGACACAUUGUUUAAAAAAAAAAAAAAUCAAGUGUUUCUACUAGGCAGCUUUACCUAUGGCAGGUGCUAGUGAAGUCGGUAGGGUAGCCCAAGUCACAGGGUGUAUCUUUACCCUCCUAAAUCUACCACUGGGGAGUCAUGAAGCAUAGAGGCUCAGGAGAUCUGACUUUGAGUUCAAGCGGUUUGUCUUGCAUUAGAGUUUUCCUAUGGGACAAUCGUGUUUGGCUAGUUGAUUUCUAAGACCUUUCCACCUAUCUGUUGCAGGCAGCACCAUCCUGUCUCACGGGGGCUUGGCAUGCAGCAUCUUUACCCGACCUACUGGAGCCCAUGUGGUAAAAGCAGGCAUCCAGGAUUGGCUGAUAUACCACAUUGCCAGACAUAAAGGCCUAUUUGUUGUCUUUGUAAAAAUAGGAUCUGGUGGCUGGGUUUGCUCAGAAAUGUAUAACUAACACACACACACACACACACACACACACACACACACACACACACACCCUUCUAGGCUAUAGUCCCCCUAAAUUUGCCUUGGCCAAAGUCAUCUGGGAAUCCAGUGUAUGUUGUUCUCUAUUGCCUGCUAUGCAGCCCAGAAGCCACUAAUCUUCUUGGCUCCUCAGGUCAGCCUGCUAUCUGUUUCUACCACUGUGGCUGCCACAGUCUGAGCCAGUGACUCUGCUUCUCUCUUGAACAGAGGAAGAUGAGCUGUGGGGUGUGCUAGUAUGUAUUGGGGCAGAUGCAUGCUGACUGUGGGUCACCCACAGGACCAGUUCUUCUAUGUAUUUAACUUAUAUCUGCCUCAUUUGGAAAGGGGAGCCAGGUUCUCUUCCUCAAUGAUGGAUUUGUGGUCCUCACCCAGCAGCCCAUCUCUUCCCUACCCUCCUUUACAGCCAAGAUUCUUGAAAACAAUGCCUACAUUCUAUGGCCUCUGUUCCCUACAGCUUCCAGUGGGAGGGUGGGCUCAUAUGGGCUGGUUACAAUUUCUCCAGUUGGAGGUGAGGUAAUCUCCUUACCCUUAGACACUCCCAGGAGGCAGGGCAGGGAGGAAGGGAAAUGUAAGGCAAGCUUAUGGAAUGCUGAAGCAGCAUUGGGUACGCAGCCUUAGAACCAUGGCUGAGGCGCAGCGUGGAUCCCUGAGUCUUGUGAAGAUCUUGUCCUAGAAGUAUCCAUGUUAGCUACCUGGAUGAGGGAUGGGCAUCGAGACUGGGGAGGUUGGUUGGCUUUUCCUGCCACAGGGGACCUGGCCACCCCUCACUGGACCCCCAAGAAGGACAGAGAAGUUCACUAAUUGGAGGCAGCAGAUGCUCAUUUUUAGAAGUUCAUCCAAAAGAUGUCACUUAAUGGGGUGAGAGCUGUCAUAAUGUGCAAUAUCAUGUUCAAAUGUUCUCCCCACCCCCGCCGUUAUCUGGGGAAGGGUGGGUUCAAAAGAACGUUCAAGUAGCUACAGGGGAUACAAAACCCCAUAUUUUCCUCCUCCUCCUGAUGAUACAUUUUCUCAGAAACCCUCAGAGACUGUUGACAAUGUGUAAUAGAGACAUAAAAGAAUAAAAUCUCGUCAGAUGUAAUAGCAAAUGGGCCUAGAUUAACUGGACAUUGGAAAAGGAGAAGAAAAGUUAGAAAUGCCUCUGUGGUAGAGAGGUGUGAGGGUAGAUAAACCUAAAACCUUGUCAACGUCGUCGGCGGUUGCUCGGUCUUGUUUAGGCAGCUGUAUUGUUGAAAUUCCGUGGCUGUUCCCUGUCGAGUCUAGAAGAUGCAAUUUCAUAGCAACAGUCUUCCUAGUCCUCUGGCUCUUUCUUAUAGGUCCUCCUUGGUGUUAGCCCUAAGCCUCAGGGUAGGGAUUCUAUUGUAGAUGAAGCUGGGGCUGGACGACAAAAUCAACUGUUCUCUGCGUUUUGACCAUUUGUGGCUUUCUGAAGUGGGCUGGGUCUGCUCUGGACAAUAAACAGCCGCCUGAGGGAGGAAGGACUUACUUCUCAGGGAUAAAGCUCUGAUUGGCUGUUAAACACCCAGUGGCUAGCCCUAAAAACAAAUACAUACAAACAACAUUAAACAGACUCAGAAGGUUGUAUUUGCAUACUUAUUAAUUUAGAUAUAUGUAUAUGUAACUAUUAUUUAAAAAAAGAAGCGAUGGAUUUGAGAGGGAGCAGGGAUCAUGGGAAGGGUUGGAGAGAGAAGAAGGGGGGAGAUGGUGUGAUUUUAUUUUAAAGAUAAAUUAAAAAACCUUUUCACUUUGCUGUUAUUAAAAUGGAAUGGCGACUAAAUCCAUUUUAUUGCAGUAUACAUGAUAAAGAGUGGAGUAAUAUUCUCAUUUUCCCUCCAUGUGGCUACAUCUGCUUUACAUUUUUUCCCCUCUCACCAGAACUAAUGUUUUUCUUUGGGAACCACCCAUAAAAAUUCCAAUGGCAACCCUUGAAAAUGAUUUUUCUUUAAAAAAAAAAAAGUGAGACAUUAUUUGCAUUUGCCCCAAAAGGCCUUAUACAUUUUAAGUUUGAAAGCAGGAUUUUUUUUUUUUUAAGUGGGAAUUCAUUAUGACCCCACUUAGGUCAAAACCCGAGCUGCCUCUUGGCACUAAAUCCCUUAGAAGUUUCCUCUCUGAACAAAGAUUUGUAAGGAAAUGUGUUCAGGUCCCAUGGCUGUGGUGGAAAAAAAAAAAAGAAAGAAAAAACAAAGAGAGAGCUUUAUAUCUGCUUGGAAGUGGGGGAGGGGAGAUGAGGGCAGAGGUGGAGGUAGAAGUGGGAAGGGGGAGGCAUGCUGGCUUCCACCCAUUGUCAAAUCCACAGUACCUCCCAUUUCUGCUCUUUGGUUUUGGGGAUCCUUUGCUCCACAUUUUAAAAGCUAUCACACAUCUGCCACGACACAAGAAACCCUGUGUAUUUGGUGGGUGUUUAAAACAAUGUCACAAUGUCUCACGUGCCUGGCACGUUGAGAGCAGCUAGCAAGAUGUCAAAAUGUCUCUCGUGCCUGGCACGUUGAGAGCAGCCCUUGCUGAUUGUGUUGCUACUCCUUUGCUAUCAGGGAUCGCUGGAAGAUUGCUGGCGUGUUCCAGUUUUGAGAGAAUGGGUAAUCCAGGAAAGCAUGAGAACAGGGAAAAUGCCUGUUGUCUGUCCCCAAGGCUGUGGAAGGAUCCCACAGGGUCUGAAUACCAGGAUCCCAGGUGGUACCCUACCUCACCCUCCGACCCCUCGUGCUUUCCAUGGGCAAAAUGGAAUUUUUUAUUUUUUAAUCUGACCUGCCUCCUCCUUCACGAGUUUCCUCUCAGCAAAAGUCCUCACCCAGGCAACUCUAGGGUGACAUCAUGUGAUUAAGGUUGCUGGGGUCAAGUUCCUCACAUUGGGAGUGUUUGUGGGGGACAGACCGAAGGUAACUGCCACAGGCCCCCUCUGUCCACAAGGAGGUAGUUCCAAAGCCAUUGGACUCAUCUUAAAACGUGCCUUGAAGAAGAUUUCUCUCCUGGCUCACCAGAAGCAGUUCUUUCGGUGUCUUUCUCUGCUUUGCUGGCUAGAUAGCCUCUAUCUUUGUUUGCAUGAUUCUAAUUGGCGGUUAGUACUUGCUUGUCACAUGAUUUAACAGGCAUCUUGUCUGAUGAUAAUCUGAAAGGUCAGAGAUCACUUUUGGUUCGGUAUCAUCUCAGUCACUUGACAUCCAAACAGAUGGGGGUGGGACUGGGGGAUGGGGCUGGGGGGCUGCUCCUGUCAAACUCCCUUCUAGCCCUAUGAAUCUCCUGCUUAAAUGGGCUAGUUCUGUAGGACAAAUGCCACAUUUACAAGGCUUUCAGACUAAGCCUCUCUUCACUCCAGACUGCUGCAGAGCCUGGCAGAGGGCAGUGCCUUUGUAACCCAGGAGAGCUUCCUGCUGUUGGACUUGAAGGAGAUCCCAGAGACGCUGGCAGAAGCCCGGUUUGUAAAUGCUGCCUGGGAAGCUUCAGAGUGGAUUCUUUUCAGUGGGCUCCCUCCCAGAAAGAUCUUCGCUCAAGAACCAUUUCUCAGGUUUCCUUUACAGUCUUGGAAAGGCCAGGGAUAUAUUUUUUUUUUCAAAUGUAAGUCUCUGAAUCCUUUAGAUAGCUUUCCUUCAGCAUAUCUCUGCCCCUCCAGUUAGAUAUUAGUGAUUCAAAAAUCCUGCUGUUUACCUUAGUAUCCUAGUGAUUUCUUGGGGACAUGGCAAUGCAAUGUGGUUAAGCUUUCUGCCUCUACAGAGUCUCUUCAGCUCCCAUGUGUCCUUACUGACUUUUCAGAUAUCACCAAAGCUUUGCAAUCUCCCCAAAGCCUGGGAAUGACAAUCCUAGACAUCUGCCCCAGCAUACAUCUGCCUGCUGUCCCAUCCGUAGGGUGUAGGUGUGGUCAGCUUUCUGUCCCUGGGGUAACAUCCCAGAGAUAUGACGAAAUUGAUCAGGUGGAAAGAUUUCUUUUGGCUCAGAGUUUCAGAGGCUUCAGUCUGUGGCGGCCUGGCUCCAUCGUUUGUGGGCCUGUGGCAAUGCAGAAAACAUCAUGGCAAAUUGCUUGUGGCAGAGAUGAGCUGCUGGCCUGAUGGUAGGCAAGAGAUAGAUGAGGAACGGUUAGGGCUAAGUUCCUCUAUCCCCUUCAGUUGCACGCAUCCUAGUGAUCUGCCUUCUUUCCACUAGGCUGCACUUGCCACCUACGACUUUCCCUAAAGUGUAACUAACAACAUUGUUGGCUAAGUCCAUCACUUCAGCACAUGGAGACUCGAGAUGAACAUCAGAGCAAAUGUUUAGGGUUUUUUUUUUGCCCCCCUUGGCAGUAGCAUCCCAACUGUAAGAUUUGUUUCUUCUUUUGACAACAGUUACCUAAAGUUCAGCACUCCUGGAUAAGAAGAGUUGCUUAUUGUCUCGAGUGUCCUUGGUGGGCCAGGAAUUAAAGACUUGUGGG